GACGAACCGUGCAAACGUUGUUCGGAAUCACUGGGCUUAAAGGGCGCGUAGGCGGGUUCGUAAGUCUGUGGUGAAAGCCCCCGGCUCAACCGGGGAGAGUCGUCGGGGACCGCACCGCUUGAGGGCGGUAGGGGCUGGUGGAAUGCCUGGUGUAGUGGUGAAAUGCGUAGAGAUCAGGCAGAACACCUGGGGCGAAGGCGGCCAGCUGGGCCGUCCCUGACGCUGAGGCGCGAAGGCGUGGGGAGCGAACGGG
rnacentral:rRNA from 1 species